GGGAGAAAUGAUGAUCUUCAAUCCAUAGAAAUUUCUCUGAAAGUUUUGAUGAUGAAUACCCCUUAUACAUGCACUACCAUCUGAUCUCCC